GCAAAUUAAGUAUAAUGUAUAUUUCAAUUACAAUGAAAAGGGCUUCCUAUAGAAUUUGCA
rnacentral:tRNA from 1 species